GGGUUUCUAUUUUACCUCCGACCAGAUCGGGUUUACCGGAUGAGCCGGUAUCUACUAGUCAAACGCUCCUCUUGGACCGGUUCUAAGGAGGUGGAACGGACAUCCGGUGGCCGUGGUAGAGCCGACGAUGGUUCGGAUUCCGGUUAGACCGCCCGGUGAACGGCGUUUUCGGGGAUAAACCAGUGUCAUACUGGAGCUUUUUGACAGGUAUGCUCUUCCUUUGGUUGGUUAUUUCUGAGAACUAGCGAACAGCAGCUCGAAUUUCUUUUGCUGCUUUGAUCGUCCAGAUCUGGUCGACCGGCGAAGCGCCUGCCUGAGUGAUGGACAGAUCUGCACCUUCCCGAGUUUCAGGCUUGACCAAUAUUCAUCUGAACAAAGUUCCUUUGAUGAGACAAAAAGUCUUGGACCUUCCUUUUAUCCAGAAUUGAAACAUCACCACGACUGGAAGCCGGUGAAGAAACAUCAUCCUCAGUUGUUCACCAAAGCAAGAAGAGUAAUGGUAGGCAGCAGGGUUUUAUUCAACGAAGAUGUCAAAUCACGAAGACGUUAAACAUAAACACAGAGAAUUUUGUUCAAAUCCAGGGGGGUGUUAAGGAAGGCGGUGGCGGUGCUAUGCCUCGUCCUUUUGGGAUUUAAGAGGCCCAUCAUGGCCCGCAUUGUGAUGCUAACUUUCUACGGUUGUACCUGCUUGCAAGGUUCAAGGUAACGAUAAGAUACAUCGAAUUGGUUUUCAUGGUCAGUUUGGCGGCAUAUAAUGGGAGUUGGGAGAUUUGAAUUUGGGAGUUAUAGCUGAUAAUGACAACUUUUGAGUCCUAAUAUUAAUAAAAAUAAGGACAAAAAUACUGUUCAUUUUCCUCUUCCAAACACUGUUCAUCUUUUUAUAACACCGCCGAAAAGACUGUUAUGGCUUACUACUAGGAGGCCAAGAGGAUCCGAGGUAACAAAACGAAGCUCAAUUUCUCUGAAAUGAAGUUUGUAUUGGUUCCAUCACCACAACCACUACCAGCCAAGAGACGAUGUUGCUUCUUCCCCAACUCAGUCCAGAAGAGUUUUUCGGUCACAGUAGGGCAAUUGGAUAUUGCCACGGGUACGUUCUUUCCUUUCAAAGAGGAAAUAUUCUACAAUUAACACAGAAGUAGUGAAGUCGAACUGAAAGAGCAGAUCUUUAAUUUGGAAUCGUUCCUGAAGCUUGAGCCUGAAGCAGUGGAGCCAGUGGGGAGUGUGGAACCAAAGGUGGGGAGAUUUGUCCGAUGGUUUGAAGGAGGAAGGAGAUGAACAGUGUUUCUACCUUUUUUGAUAUUUUUUUAAAAGGUUACUCUAUUGUAGAAAUUAUGUUAAAAAGAUUAUUUUUACUGAUAAUAAGACCCAAAAGUUGCUCUUAUCAACUGUAAUCCCUAUGCAAUGCUUAUGUAUGAAAGAGUUGUUUCACCAAAUUAUUAUUUUUAAUUAUUUUUAUCUUUUUUA